CUUCGACCCUGCACCCAAUCA
rnacentral:miRNA from 1 species